rnacentral:rRNA from 1 species
UACAGGGGGGGCAAGCGUUGUUCGGAAUUAUUGGGCGUAAAGGGCGCGUAGGCGGCCAUGCGUGUCUUCCGUGAAAUCCCUCGGCUUAACUGAGGACGUGCGGAAGAAACUGCAAGGCUCGAGUCCGGGAGAGGGGGGUGGAAUUCCCAGUGUAGCGGUGAAAUGCGUAGAUAUUGGGAGGAACACCGGUGGCGAAGGCGGCCCCCUGGACCGGUACUGACGCUGAGGCGCGAAAGCGUGGGUAGCAA